rnacentral:lncRNA from 1 species
AAAUAGAAGAUAUUGGAUUUUCGAUAAAAUUUGUAUAAAAAUCGCCAAAAGGGUACUUUUUUUAAAAUCAAAGAUCUAUUUUUUUUCCUUAUUCACCUUCAAAAUGCAAAAGUUUUCUUGAAACCGGGAAAACCGGUGAGGAGGAAGAGCUAUAAGAGGGAAUGGAGGAGAAUAAGGUGGAGGUUAAUGCCGUUGAUAGGUAAUCUAUAAAGUAUCAGAAGAAAGCAAAGGUUUGGUGCCAUUGAUGAAGAAGGAAAGAAGCAAAGUUUUUGAAACAAAAGCCCAUUCACGAUGAACUCUCUCAAACUCUUGACAGAAUUGGUGCCACAAGGAGCGUGAUUUUUGGAGAGAAAUAAAUUUUCUUUUUGUUUUGGCCUUUUUUUUAUUGUUUUUGUUGUUUUGAGGAAUAAUGUGGAUGAGAUUGACAGAAAGAGAAUAAAACUUGGUGAAUUAUUGAGGCAGGGGGGAAGAGGUGGCCAAUACGAGGGAAAAAAAA